rnacentral:lncRNA from 1 species
ACAGAGAGCUGAGAACGGGAGAGGUUGGAAAAAAUCGAGAAUGGAAAGGAAGAAAAAGAAGAAAAGAAAGGAAAGGAAGAAGUUGAUGACUUUUGCAAGUUUGGGUUCUUCAUUUCUUCAAUUUAUGCUUCUUUUAAAGAGGUACGUUAAUUAAAUUUCUAGGGUUUAUGAACAAUUCAUUUAUAUUCGAAGUCUAGCAAGAAUUAGAGAUUAUUAAUAUAUAUUUGAGGUAUUAAACAAGAGUAUAUCAAGGAAAUUUAUAAAGAAAGAUUGAUGUUGUAGAAAGUGAAAUUUUGAAAAUGGAAAUGGAUACCUAUUCUUUGUUUUUUUGUGAUUAUAUGGUGUCAACCACUUAAUUUAAGGACAUGAGGUUUGAUUUCUCCAUUUUAAGCUAUUUUGUGCAAUUUUAAUACACAUUGCUGAUUUGUAAUUUUGCCCAGAAAAGUGCCAUUUCUGUCAAUUGUUUUGGUGAUAAUUUUUAGUGUACAAAAACUGGUUUUACAGUUCCAUAUUCUGGAAUUUUAGUUUUAUUUUUGUCUAACCUUUGAUUUUCACAUUUUAAAGGCUUGAAUGAAGUUAUAUGAGAAGUAUUGACGUUUAUGUAGUAGACUAAAUUAUGUAUAGGGGUUGUAUAAUGUAUUGAUUUUAAGCAAGUGCAAGUGAUUUAAUGGAUUUGAUAAUGAAUGGUGAUUAGUUGAUAAAUCAUUAGAGAGAAGAAAAGUUGGAGAGUUGGAGCUAUAAGAGUAAAUAUAGAAAUUGAGAAGUUAAUAGGUGAAUUUGUAUUAAUUUAAUUGUCAUAUAUUAAUUUGAGGAAUUAUACCUUGUUUCAGGUAGGGACGUAAAAGGUUGAAAAGGUUAGUCAAUUAAAUCAAGUUUUCAUAUAUAGUUCUCUGAGUGGAAGACCUACUUUUCUAAAAGUAAUAUUUUCUUUUUAUUUUAUAGAAG